UACAGAGGUCUCAAGCGUUGUUCGGAUUCAUUGGGCGUAAAGGGUGCGUAGGUGGCGCCGUAAGUCGGGUGUGAAAUUUCGGAGCUUAACUCCGAAACUGCACUCGAUACUGCGGUGCUUGAGGACUGGAGAGGAGACUGGAAUUCAUGGUGUAGCAGUGAAAUGCGUAGAGAUCAUGAGGAAGACCAGUGGCGAAGGCGGGUCUCUGGACAGUUCCUGACACUGAGGCACGAAGGCCAGGGGAGCAAACGGG
rnacentral:rRNA from 1 species